rnacentral:rRNA from 1 species
UACGGGGGGGGGCAAGCGUUGUUCGGAAUUACUGGGCGUAAAGGGCUCGUAGGCGGCCAACUAAGUCACACGUGAAAUCCCCAGGCUUAACCUGGGAACUGCGUGUGAUACUGGAUGGCUUGAAUCCGGGAGAGGGAUGCGGAAUUCCAGGUGUAGCGGUGAAAUGCGUAGAUAUCUGGAGGAACACCGGUGGCGAAGGCGGCAUCCUGGACCGGUAUUGACGCUGAUGAGCGAAAGCCAGGGGAGCAAACGGGG